ACGCUGGCGGCGCGUCUUAAGCAUGCAAGUCGAACGAUGAACCCGGAGCUUGCUCCGGGGGAAGAGUGGCGGACGGGUGAGUAACACGUGGGUAAUCUGCCUCAAAGCCUGGGAUAGCUCUGCGAAAGCAGGAUUAAUACCGGAUGUGAUUGUAGGUUCAUAAGAAUCAACAAUUAAAGGUUUCGGCCACUUUGAGAUGAGCCUGCGGUCUAUUAGCUUGUUGGUGGGGUAAUUGCCUACCAAGGCUACAAUAGAUAGCCGGCCUGAGAGGGUGAACGGCCACAUUGGGACUGAGAUACGGCCCAGACUCCUACGGGAGGCAGCAGCUAAGAAUCUUCCGCAAUGGGCGAAAGCCUGACGGAGCGACGCCGCGUGGAUGAUGAAGGCCCUACGGGUUGUAAAAUCCUUUUCUUAAGGAAGAAGGCCUAGUUUACUAGGUUUCCAUUGACUGUACUUAAGGAAUAAGCCCCGGCUAAUUACGUGCCAGCAGCCGCGGUAAUACGUAAGGGGCGAGCGUUGUUCGGAUUUACUGGGCGUAAAGGGUACGUAGGCGGAUUGACAAGUUGGAUGUGAAAUCUUCGAGCUCAACUCGAAAACUGCGUCCAAAACUGUCAAUCUAGAGUUAGGGAGAGGAAAACGGAAUUCCUAGUGUAGGAGUGAAAUCUAUAGAUAUUAGGAAGAACACCAAUGGCGAAGGCAGUUUUCUGGCCUAUAACUGACGCUAAGGUACGAAAGCU
rnacentral:rRNA from 1 species